rnacentral:rRNA from 1 species
UCGAGAAUCUUCCGCAAUAGGCGAAAGCCUGACGGAGCGACGCCGCGUGGAGGAUGAAGGCCUUCGGGUUGUAAACUCCUGUCACUCGUUAUGAAUGGCAGCGCGUUAAUAGCGCGUUGUUUGACAAAGGCGAGAGAGGAAGCACCGGCUAACCCUGUGCCAGCAGCCGCGGUAAGACAGGGGGUGCAAGCGUUGCUCGGAAUUACUGGGCGUAAAGCGCACGUAGGCGGUCCCGUAAGUCGGGUGUGAAAGCCCUCAGCCUAACUGAGGAACUGCGCCCGAUACUGCGGGGCUAGAGGACGGGAGGGGAGAGUGGAAUUCCUGGUGGAGCGGUGAAAUGCGUAGAUAUCAGGAGGAAUACCAGUGGCGAAGGCGACUCUCUGGUCCGUUCCUGACGCUGAGGUGCGAAAGCUAGGGGAGCAAACGGGAUUAGAUACCCCCGUAGUCC